rnacentral:rRNA from 1 species
AUGGCGGAGGCUAUACUGACCGUGGUGACCAAGAUUGGGACAGUGGCUUUAAAUAAAGGAGUCACGGCUGUGGUAGAGAAGUUGGCGACAAGGCUUGAAAGUCUGAAGGAAUUGCCGGGCAAGAUUAAACGAAUUGAGAAAGAGUUGAGGAUGAUGAAUAACACAAUUCAUGAUUUCGGUACGACACAUCUGAGCAACCAUAGGAAGAAGGGUUGGAUUGAUGAUGUGAGGAAGCUGGCCUACCGUGUGGAGGAUGUAAUUGACAAGUAUUCGUAUGAGGCCCUCAAGCUCAAGGAAGAGGGCUUCCUAAAUAGGUACAUGUUCAGAGGUACGCGACAUGUAAUUGUUUUCGGUAAGAUUGCUGAUGAUGUGACAGAGAUAGAGGAGGAGAUCAAGCACAUAAAUGAACUGAAGAAAAGCUGGAGCGACGAACCUACACAAAUAAAGCAUGCAGAAAUUGAUCGGACGAGGUCCGGAAGCUGUUUUCCAGAGCUUACUAGUGAUGAUGAUCUUGUGGGAAUUGAAGAAAACAGGAGCAAGUUGACUGAAUGGCUGACCAGCGAUGAGAAAGAGAGCACAGUGAUCACAGUUUCCGGUAUGGGGGGCCUGGGGAAGACAACCCUUGUGAAGAACGUGUUUGAUCGGGAGAAAGCCAACUUCCCUGAUUUCAAUGCUUGGAUCAUGGUCUCACAGACAUAUGAUGUGGCUGAUCUGCUGGGAACAUUGCUCACCAAGAUACGACGGCACACGCAGCAGCAGUCUGCGUUGCCUGCUACUGUGGACGGCAAAGCUGAUGUCUUUGAGCUAACAGAGGCAAUCAACAAGAUACUCAAACACAGGAGAUUCCUAGUCGUGCUUGAUGAUGUGUGGAAAACAGAUGCAUACACUCGGAUGCGCAGUGCAUUCCAAGGUGUCCAAGGAAGCCGUGUUAUCAUCUCAACACGGAAGGAAGAUGUCGCGGCCCUUGCUCCGGUAAGACGUCGCCUGCUACUCCAGCCAUUGGGGGCCGCCGAGUCUUUCAAGCUGUUCUGCUCCAGGACUUUCCGCGAAGACGGCGAGUGCCCUUCGGAGCUCCACACCGUGGCUACAGCCAUGGUCGAGAGCCUGUACCCUGAGGACUACCCAUUGUCACGGGAGACCCUCGUGCGGAUGUGGGUCGCCGAAGGGUUCGCGACACCGAUAGAGCACAGCACAGCGGAAGAAGCAGCCGAGGAGAAUCUCAUGAACCUCAUAGGCCGCAAUAUGCUGGAGGUUGUGGAGAGAGAUGAGCUCUACAGGGUCACCAGCUGCAAGAUGCAUGACAUUGUCCGAGACCUGGCUCUUGCUGUUGCUAAAGAUGAGAAGUUCGGUUCCGCCAACGACCAGGGCGAAAUGAUGCACAUGGAUACAGAAGUUCGCCGGUUCUCAACAUAUGGUUGGACAGAUGGCAACACAGCAGCUGCUGCGGGGGUGGAAUUCCCACUACUUCGAACCAUCAUCUCGCUCUCCGCAGCUUCUUCCUCCACCAACAUGAUCUCCUCAAUUCUCACUGGAUCCAACUACCUCAGUGUUCUCGAGCUCCAAGACUCUGCAAUCAACCAGCUGCCAGCAACCAUCGGGAAUCUGUUCAAUCUCCGCUACAUCGGCCUAAGGCGCACCAAUGUUGAGUCCUUGCCGGACACUAUAGGGAAGCUCUCCAACCUGGAGACACUAGACGUCAAGCAGACGAGAAUACAGAAGCUACCUCCAGGAAUUGUCAAGCUUGUGAAGCUGCGGCACCUCUUAGCUGACAGGUUUGCUGAUGAGAAGCAGACGGAGUUCCGCUACUUCAUCGGAUUGGAAGCGCCUAAAAUGAUCUCCAAGCUGCUAGAAUUGCAGACUCUUGAGACCGUCCAUGCCAGCAAGGAGCUGGCACAGCAGCUGAAGAGGAUGAACAAGCUGGAUACUGUUUGGAUUGACAACAUCAAUGCACACAACUGUGAUGAUAUUUUCCAUACCCUGUCAAGUAUGCCCCUGCUCUCUAGCUUACUCCUCUGUGCAUGUGAUGAGAAGGAGGUACUUAGUUUCCAAUACCUCAAGCCGACUUCCAAGAAGCUCCACAAGCUAAUUGUCCGAGGCGGUUGGGCCCAUGGGACACUCAACUGUCCGAUAUUUAGUAGCCAUGGGAAGCAUCUCCGGUAUCUGGCUCUAAGUUGGUGUGAUCUUGGGCUGGAAGACCCGCUGCAGCUGCUAGCAUGUCUUGUGCCAGAUCUCACUUAUCUCAGUCUCAACAGGGUGAGCAGUGCAAGCACAUUGGUUAUAUCUGAAGGGUGCUUUCCAAAGCUCAAGACGCUCGUCUUGAGGCGCAUGCCUAAUGUCCAGCAACUGGUGAUUGAAGUGGGUGCCCUGCCGGGCAUUGAUGGGAUCUACAUCGUGUCUCUCUGGGGGCUCAGUAUUGCCCCUCGCGGCAUUGAAUCCCUUAGAUCCUUGACCAAGCUCUGGAUGCUCAGUCUGCACAAGGACUUCAAGGCUAACUGGAUCGCGGACAAGAUGCACGGCAAGCUGCAGCACGUUCCAGAGCUCCGUACCUAG